AUUGAACGCUGGCGGCAUGCUUUACACAUGCAAGUCGAACGGUAACAGGCCUUCGGGUGCUGACGAGUGGCGCACGGGUGAGUAAUGCAUCGGAACGUACCCAGAGGUGGGGGAUAACGCAGCGAAAGCUGUGCUAAUACCGCAUGUGAUCUGAGGAUGAAAGCGGGGGACCGAGCAGCAAUGUUUGGCCUCGCGCCUUUGGAGCGGCCGAUGUCGGAUUAGCUAGUUGGUGGGGUAAAGGCCUACCAAGGCGACGAUCCGUAGCUGGUCUGAGAGGACGACCAGCCACACUGGAACUGAGACACGGCCCAGACUCCUACGGGAGGCAGCAGUGGGGAAUUUUGGACAAUGGGCGCAAGCCUGAUCCAGCAAUGCCGCGUGCGGGAAGAAGGCCUUCGGGUUGUAAACCGCUUUUGGCAGGAACGAAACGGUGUCCGCUAAUACCGGGCGCUAAUGACGGUACCUGCAGAAUAAGCACCGGCUAACUACGUG
rnacentral:rRNA from 1 species